AGUAAUUCAUGAUGACGAUAAGUAAUCGACUUAACAUGACUGAUUACUCAUCAGUCAUCUCCACUCAACAUGACUACUGAUUCAUU
rnacentral:snoRNA from 1 species